UACGAAGGGGGCGAGCGUUGUUCGGAUUUACUGGGCGUAAAGGGCGCGCAGGCGGUUCUGUUUGUCGAGUGUGAAAGCCCCGGGCUCAACCUGGGAACUGCGCUCGAAACGGCGGAACUAGAGUCGGGAGAGGAGAGUGGAAUCCCAGUGUAGAGGUGAAAUCGUAGAUAUUGGGAAGGACACCGGUGGCGAAGGCGGCUCUCUGGGACCGAU
rnacentral:rRNA from 1 species